CCCAAGGCUGGCAGGAACUGGGUUUGCCCUCUCCUCGGAAUUCAUCCACAUCACGGCUGUCCCCUGGAUUUAACCACAACUCGACCCCUUCCGUGGGGUUCCCGCCUCCUUCUGCAGCCCAGUGAGCAGCCUUGGCGACUCCAGUGCACACAGAAAUGCUCCCCAGGAGCUCCCACAUCCCAGCCGUUUUCCCUGCAGUUCACCUGCAGGACCUCGGGUAUCGAGCUGGACAGUGAGCACCUCCCUGUCGCGCUGCCCUGCACUGCUCCUCGCCAAGAUUACUGCACACUUUGGGGUGCUUGAGGUCACUGGUUCUGCCCCUUAUUAGCGGGCAGCAUUUGCAGCAGAGUCUCCGCUCCUCCCCUUACGCACUUCCUGGUGGCCGGCCCUGCUCCUCUCCCCAGCUCCCCCUGUGUAUGGCUCUGCCUGGGAGGGACACUGGAGCCCGGGCUGGAGAACCCACUGGGGACUCCUGCCCCAGCCCUCUUGGGGCCCCACCUUGCUCCCACUCACCAGCGAGUGGGCCGGGCCUGCCCCAAGCACAUCUGCCUCUGGCCAGGCCCCUCCCUGUCCCCUGGCUGUUCUGCUUUCUGCUGGUCUCCCCAACUCAGGCCGCCCCAACCCCACCCUCCUUGUGCAGCUUCUGCCUGUGUGUCCUGGUCCCUUUGUCAUCUGAGAGCCGUGGGGACAAACUGAUGACGGUUACCUUCAAACAGAGCUCCCCUGUGUCUGUGUUGCUGGCGGGGUCUUCCACAUCUCUCACUUUGGGAUUUGGAGAGAUUGGAACCAAGUGGCUGACCCCAGCACCUCCUCCAGACCUGAGUCACAGCCCAGAGGUGUGGGGGCAGAAGCACCAGAAGACAUCCAGGUCCCCCCACCCUUGUGACCAGUGCCGUGAAACCCUCUGAGCGCCUCUUGGUCCAUCCCUCAGCUCAGGCAGAGCCAUCUCCGCACACCCGGCCUCCCACUGCCGUGUCAUCGGUGACUGACGCCCAGAUCCCUUCUCUGCUCUUUGCCCUGCUCCCCGUCUCAGGCUGGAAUGAUUCUGACCUGCACCCUCU
rnacentral:lncRNA from 1 species